UACGUAGGGUGCGAGCGUUGUCCGGAUUUAUUGGGCGUAAAGAGCUCGUAGGCGGUUUGUCGCGUCGGCCGUGAAAUCUCCACGCUUAACGUGGAGCGUGCGGUCGAUACGGGCGGGCUAGAGUUCGGUAGGGGAGACUGGAAUUCCUGGUGUAGCGGUGAAAUGCGCAGAUAUCAGGAGGAACACCGGUGGCGAAGGCGGGUCUCUGGGCCGAUACUGACGCUGAGGAGCGAAAGCGUGGGGAGCGAACAGG
rnacentral:rRNA from 1 species